GCUACGGGGGGCUGCAGUGGGGAAUAUUGCACAAUGGGGGAAACCCUGAUGCAGCGACGCCGCGUGAGUGAAGAAGGAUUUCGGUAUGUAAAGCUCUAUCAGCAGGGAAGAAAAUGACGGUACCUGAUUAAGAAGCCCCGGCUAACAACGUGCCAGCAGCCGCGGUAAGACGUAGGGGGCAAGCGUUCUCCGGAUUUACUGGGUGUAAAGGGAGCGUAGACGGCAGCACAAGUCUGGAGUGAAAUGCCGGGGCUUAACCCCGGAACUGCUUUGGAAACUGUGCAGCUAGCGUGCAGGUGGGGUAAGUGGAAUUCCUAGUGUAGCGGUGAACUGCUUCGAUAUUGCGCAGAACUCCGCUUGCGAAGGCAGCAUACCGGCGGCGAUCUGCCGCUGCGGCAC
rnacentral:rRNA from 1 species